rnacentral:rRNA from 1 species
AGUGAACGCUGGCGGCAGGCCUAACACAUGCAAGUCGAGCGGCAGCGCGUCCGACCGCCCUCGGGUGGUCGGAUGGCGGCGAGCGGCGGACGGGUGAGGAAUGCAUCGGAAUCUGCCUCGUUGUGGGGGAUAACGUAGGGAAACUUACGCUAAUACCGCAUACGACCUACGGGUGAAAGUGGGGGACCUUCGGGCCUCACGCGAUGAGAUGAGCCGAUGCCGGAUUAGCUAGUUGGCGGGGUAAAGGCCCACCAAGGCGACGAUCCGUAGCUGGUCUGAGAGGAUGAUCAGCCACACUGGAACUGAGACACGGUCCAGACUCCUACGGGAGGCAGCAGUGGGGAAUAUUGGACAAUGGGGGGCAACCCUGAUCCAGCCAUGCCGCGUGUGUGAAGAAGGCCUCGGUUGUAAGUACACUUU